rnacentral:rRNA from 1 species
GAAUGGCGUAAUGAUGGCCAGGCUGUCUCCACCCGAGACUCAGUGAAAUUGAACUCGCUGUGAAGAUGCAGUGUACCCGCGGCAAGACGGAAAGACCCCGUGAACCUUUACUAUAGCUUGACACUGAACAUUGAGCCUUGAUGUGUAGGAUAGGUGGGAGGCUUUGAAGCGUGGACGCCAGUCUGCGUGGAGCCGACCUUGAAAUACCACCCUUUAAUGUUUGAUGUUCUAACGUGGACCCGUAAUCCGGGUUGCGGACAGUGUCUGGUGGGUAGUUUGACUGGGGCGGUCUCCUCCUAAAGAGUAACGGAGGAGCACGAAGGUUGGCUAAUCCUGGUCGGACAUCAGGAGGUUAGUGCAAUGGCAUAAGCCAGCUUGACUGCGAGCGUGACGGCGCGAGCAGGUGCGAAAGCAGGUCAUAGUGAUCCGGUGGUUCUGAAUGGAAGGGCCAUCGCUCAACGGAUAAAAGGUACUCCGGGGAUAACAGGCUGAUACCGCCCAAGAGUUCAUAUCGACGGCGGUGUUUGGCACCUCGAUGUCGGCUCAUCACAUCCUGGGGCUGAAGUAGGUCCCAAGGGUAUGGCUGUUCGCCAUUUAAAGUGGUACGCGAGCUGGGUUUAGAACGUCGUGAGACAGUUCGGUCCCUAUCUGCCGUGGGCGCUGGAGAACUGAGGGGGGCUGCUCCUAGUACGAGAGGACCGGAGUGGACGCAUCACUGGUGUUCGGGUUGUCAUGCCAAUGGCACUGCCCGGUAGCUAAAUGCGGAAGAGAUAAGUGCUGAAAGCAUCUAAGCACGAAACUUGCCCCGAGAUGAGUUCUCCCUGAGACUUUAGGUCUCCUGAAGGAACGUUGAAGACGACGACGUUGAUAGGCCGGGUGUGUAAGCGCAGCGAUGCGUUGAGCUAACCGGUACUAAUGAACCGUGAGGCUUAACCUUACA